AAGAGACAGCAGUCGCCGCGGUAAAACGUAGGGUGCAAGCGUUAAUCGGAAUUACUGGGCGUAAAGCGUGCGCAGGCGGUUUGUUAAGACAGAUGUGAAAUCCCCGGGCUCAACCUGGGAACUGCAUUUGUGACUGGCAGGCUAGAGUAUGGCAGAGGGGGGUAGAAUUCCGCGUGUAGCAGUGAAAUGCGUAGAUAUGCGGAGGAACACCGAUGGCGAAGGCAGCCCCCUGGGCCAAUACUGACGCUCAUGCACGAAAGCGUGGGGAGCAAACAGGAUUAGAUACCCCUGUAGUCCCUGUCUCUUAUAA
rnacentral:rRNA from 1 species